rnacentral:ncRNA from 1 species
GCUUAUCAAGAGCGGCUGAGGGAUCAGGCCCUGUGAAGCCCGGCAACCUGCAUUUAUUGCAAGGUGCCAAAUCCUGCGGUAUAUCCGAAAGAUGAG